UGGCUGUUUAUCGGUUUAGCUCGCGUUCUCGUUACGAUACGUGUUCGAACGAGAUUAAAUCCCUGUCAAUCUUGCUCGUCGCGUAUCAAUUGGCCAACCGGUCGACCGGACACGUAAGCGCGACUGCUAUGCGACAUGGAAAAUCGACGGCAACGCGAAUUCGAUUCGGUUCGAAGGUUCGUAGGUUUACAACGGGUUCAGCCAACCUCUGUGCAACCGGUCUGUAUGGUGAUCGUGCUCGUAAACGUUUUCGAUUCCCAGUGGCACUCGCCGUUCGUGAUGCAGCCGUUCCUAUUCGGGGACGAUACUUGAAGAUUCGGGGAUCCGUAAUCUGGACUCGAGCGAUUGUAAGCCUGGAAAAGCGAUUAGUGCAAAGCGGAGGCCACACACGAGUUAAGGCUGCUCAUCUUAGCAAUCUCUCCCUCCCUCCCUCUCUCUCUCUCUCAUUCUCUCCCUGCGAUUCCGGUUCUUAUUCGUCCCGCAAAACGUAGCGUCAGCGUUUCAGGAUUAAACAUCGCGCAGGGGCAACGCAAAGCGAUACUCUCUAUGCUGAACACGACGAAAGCAGAGUCGAAGUUAGUACUGUUUGGAGGAUACUCACAGAGAAUGGCAGCGGCGAGGACGCGUGGUUGCUCAGGGGUGGAGAGAGCGGCGCGUUCGCCAAUGCAGCGGAAAUCGUGCUGGCAGGAGCCCUUCCGCCUCUGGAAAUUUCAUUGGAUUUUUAUUGGCGGUUGUCACGCGUUAUUCCCAUCGGUUCUCGCGCUCGCGCAAUCCGUUCCGUUCCAUUCCCGUGGAAUUUCCGGCGUAGGAGCAACGAGGGCUCGAAUACUCACGGCGGCACGGUGAUUGGAACCAUGCCAGCAG